GGCUAGUUUCAACAAGGUGCGAUGUGUAUAGCUACGGGGUGAUGUUGAUUGAAACUUUUACGAGAAAAAGGCCUACUGAUGAUAUAUUUUGCGGAGAUAUGAGCUUAAAGAGAUGCGUAGAACUCUCACUUUCGGAGAUCCCAGAUGAAGUGAUAGAUGCCAACUUAGUCAUGAAUUUGGAGGAAGAAAUGAUUGACAAGAAUAGGCAGUGUGUAUCAUCCAUACUCGAAUUGGCUCUGAAAUGCUCUGCGGACUCUCCCGGGGAUAGAAUCAACAUGAAACAAGCACAUGCAGAGUUGCAAAAAAUCAGACAUCGAUUUUCCCAAUGAGGUUCAAUGUUGAAGAUUUUGAACAGGCAGUUGAUGCUAAUUGGGUGGUGAGGUGGAUGACAUAAAGGUUUUGAUAAAGAAUGGAAAAUUUGGCUUGGUCCUUUUGUUGGUUUUUGCUAUCAUUGUUAAUUCGUUCUUCUUGUUUCUACUUUUUUUUUCUUGUUGUAAUCGAUGAGUACUCUUUUUCCUUUACCAGUGCUUUUCCCAUUGGGUUUUCGCCAUAAAGGUUUUAAUGAGGCUUGGCCCUUGGCUAGCGUCUUUGUGCUUUCAAGGGUUUGCUAUCUUUUUCGUUUUUCUCCUUUUAUACAAUUUCUAUUUCAACAACUGAUGCUCAAGGUUUUUCUAUC